CCUACGGGUGGUAGCAGUGGGGAAUAUUGCACAAUGGGGGAAACCCUGAUGCAGCGACGCCGCGUGAGUGAAGAAGUAUUUCGGUAUGUAAAGCUCUAUCAGCCGGGAAGAAACACGCCGGUACCUGACUAAGCCGCCCCGGCUAACUACGGGCCAGCAGCCGCGGUAAUUCGUAGGGGGCAAGCGUUAUCCGGAUUUACUGGGUGUAAAGGGAGCGUAGACGGUAUGGCAAGUCUGAAGUGAAAGCCCAGGGCUUAACCCUGGGACUGCUUUUGAAACUGUUAGACUAGAGUGCUGGAGAGGUAAGUGGAAUUCCUAGUGUAGCGGUGAAAUGCGUAGAGAUUAGGAAGAACACCAGUGGCGAAGGCGGCUUACUGGACAGUAACUGACGUUGAGGCUCGAAAGCGUGGGGAGCAAACAGGAUUAGAUACCCCGGUAGUC
rnacentral:rRNA from 1 species